rnacentral:lncRNA from 10 species
GGAGAAUUGAGCUUGGUUCAAGUUUAAAUUGCUGGGUCCCUGGGAAGAGGCUUAGGGCUCCAUCCCAUUGGGCCGUGGCCUGGAGCGUAGACAACAGCCCAGACAGGCUGGAGGGGAAGGGGGUUCUCAAGGAGAAGAGCUAUUGUCUAACCACCCAGAGCACAGCCUUGUGUAUAUAAGGACCACACUUAAGCAGUGUGGAAACAGAGGUUGGAGGCAUCUAGGCCUGAUGAGUCCUUGGCAGCCUCUUAGAAUCCUUAUACCCUAGUAUGGGGUUCGGAAAGAGCCAAGAAUUCUUGUACUCCCCAAAAAGAGUCUGGCGGUGUUCAUGAGGGCUGGUGACCUGGAAAAGGCAUUCUGAUUGGGAUGACAAGGAUGCAGAGUCUAGAGCUGACAGCAGGGUGUGAUUGCUGAAACACAAGAAAGAGAGAAGAACUUUGCCCCCUUCUCCCAGUGCCAGCAGCCCAGAGGUAGCAGGAUCCUGUUGAAGAUGGGUAAUGUGCCAACAUCAUAACAAGGUUCAAGGGAGGCACAUCUCAUACGAGUGUGAAAAGGCAAUCAUCAUGCUUAUGAACUACAAGAUUAUCCUAUAUAUUCAUUUUCAAUUAUUUUAUCCUCCUCUGCCUCUUGCCCUGGACUAUAUAAGACCUGCAAUAUAAUGUUGAAUAAGGAAGGUGAAAACGAACAUCAUUGCAUCACUCCUGAUAUCAAAG